UAUUUGAUAAUCGAAAGUUACAUGGAUAACCGUGACAAAUUACAGCUAAUACAUGCAGUCAGACCUCGUCCAAGGGUCGUAAUUAUUAGUACCAAACCAUUUCCGUCAGGAAUGUGAUGAUUCAUAGUAAUCGAACGGAUCGCAGUCAUAUGCGAUAAGUCAUUCAAGUUUCUGCCCUAUCAGCUUUGGAUGGUAGUGUAUUGGACUACCAUGGCAGUCACGGGUAACGGAGAAUUAGGGUUCGAUUCCGGAGAGGGAGCCUGAGAAACGGCUACCACAUCUACGGAAGGCAGCAGGCGCGAAAAUUGCCCAAUCCCGACACGGGGAGGCAGUGACAAGAAAUAACAACUCUAGGAUUUCUUAGAAGUGUAAUGAGGAUAAUUUACAAACCUUACCGAGUGCAAUUGGAGGGCAAGUCUGGUGCCAGCAGCCGCGGUAAUUCCAGCUCCAAUAGCGUAUAUUAAAGUUGUUGCAGUUAAAAAGCUCGUAGUUGAAGUUCUGACUGUUCAGGCUCUCAGCCUUGAGGCGAGAGUGCUGACAGUCAUCCGCUUGCAAACAUAAGUUCGAUCUUCACCGGUUGGCUAUGUGAGCAAGCAUUUUACCUUGAGAAAAACAGAGUGUUCCAGGCAGGUUUGUCCGGAAUGCGUUAGCAUGGAAUAAUAGAACAUGACUGAAGUCUAUUUAUUGGUUUAAGGCUUUAGUAAUGAUUAAUAGGAACAGUCGGGGGCAUUCGUACUCAGCAGUCAGAGGUGAAAUUCUAAGAUUUGCUGAAGACGAACUAAUGCGAAAGCAUUUGCCAAGGAUGUUUUCAUUAAUCAAGAACGAAAGUUAGGGGAUCAAAGACGAUCAGAUACCGUCCUAGUCUUAACUAUAAACGAUGCCGACUCGGAUUCAGAUGAAUCAUAAAGUUCAUUUGGGACCGUAGGAGAAAUCAAAGUCUUUGGGUUCUGGGGGGAGUAUGGUCGCAAGGCUGAAACUUAAAGGAAUUGACGGUUUUGCACCACCAUGGAGUGGAGUCUGCGGCUUAAUUCGACUCAACACUGGGAAACUCAUCAGGGCAAGAAGAUUUUAGGAUUGACAGAUUGAGAGUUCUUUCUUGAUUGG
rnacentral:rRNA from 1 species